AGUGCCGCCAUACACCCGGGGCCUGCCCACCGGGCGGGCGCGGAUGGCGCUCCCGGUCCACACUGGGGAGCUCACAGUUGUUCCUGCCAGAUGAGGAAAAUGAAGCCCAGAAAAACUGAGAUCACCCAGGGACAGAGCCUGGAUUUGAACUUCGGUCAAGCCCACUACAGAGAGUACACAUGCUUAACCACCACACUGUAACCUUCCCACUUGGGACUGUUCCAGCCCACUAAACAAGUCCCUUUAGAGAAACUCAACUCUGCCUAAGACAGCUCUUAGAACUACCUCAAAGAAGUUCCUUUUGGCAAGAAGAUAGAAAGCCUCGAUGGGACUGGGAUUGUCUGAUUUCCAAGGCCCCUUCAGAGGAUCAAAAAGUGGUGCCAGAAACCUUCACAGUUUCAGUCUUGUGUUUCCCUGCCUGGCUCGAAACUGCUCAGCAAAGAGAAUGAGAAAAACUAUUUUCCCAGGGAAACACUCACCUCUAGCUUGAGACUGGGGCUUGCCUUGACACGCCAAAGUAAGAUCGUCAGCCCAUUCAUUUACCCUUACAAAUUGCUCUGUGAAUCCCGGUGCCGGCCUCCCCGCUCUUCCCCCUCCAGGAAACCCCAUCCAGCCUCCACGCCCCGAGAGCGAGCGGCAGGUAUCCACCGAUGUUUACUCACUCAAGUUCAUUCGACAUCUUCCUGCUCCCAGGCUCCGACGAUCAGCACUGAGGUUCUGCUGACCGCUUGUCUCUAAUUCUUGCCUGACACAGACAUUCUCUGCCCAGGGAAGUGUUUGAUUUAUGUUGAGGUUUGGGUGUCGAGAUUUUGCUGACAGGUAGGUUCCCAGCAGCGCUGGCGCUGAUUGGCUACAGGUACAGGUGCCCGCGACUGGAGGUAUACCUCAACAGGUGCAGCUGUUAACUCUUAGCCGGCCGAGGAGGGCGGAGCUAUGGGGGACUGGCUGGGUGGAGCUGGCCAAUUCCUUCCUUGGUGAGGGGGUGGGGGGUGGAGAUGAGGGAGGAGGGAUGGAGAAAAAAAUGUUGGAAAGAAGCAAGAUAACUAGAGGAAAAGUACAGGGACAAACAGAUAACCUGGCUUAAAGGAAAACUUGAUUCCUGUUUCUAGUGGUCCCAGAUACCCAGAAACAUCCCCACCCGCACAUUUCUUUGCCCCCUCCUUCUGUACCACUGGGGAAUUCUCAAAGGAGAGAGCAACUUUUCCCAGGUAGAUCUUUGUAUAAGUUCCCUUUUUUUCGGUUUCCCCUUUAAGAUAAUACUUAUGAAUAAUCUUUUACAGUUACUCAAGUGACUUCUUUUGGUUCUUAGAGUAACCCACUGUGAUAGAUUUAUUAUCGCUUCCCCCUUCCUCUUCAACACACAUUUUACAGAUGAAGGAGGAAACGGAGGCCAGAGAGGCAAAGCACCUUGCCCAAGGGCACAGCUAGCGAGGUCCCAGCCCAGAUCCAAUCUGCGGUCAUCUCACUCCAAGUCUGGCUGCCCCUUGGGCUGAAGUCAGUGGCCUCAAUUCAGCAGACAUCCAUUGAGCACCUGUUGUGUGCCAGACCCUACUCUGGGUUCUGGAGAAACUGAGGCCAGAAAAACAGGGUUACUGUUCUAGAGGAGUUUACAAGAGUUAAACAAGAGUUUAUCUGGGGGGGAUGUGUGUUGGUGGCAGGGGGUGGGGGAGUAAAGGAGACCAGGCUUUUAUUGGGUGUGAAGGGGGUGUGGGCAAGCCACAUACCUCUGCUUAGCACAGAAGGGAUAGAAAAGUUGAAGGCACCUCCGAAGCCUCAGCCAGCUGGUCAUUUCACAGGUGCCAAGUGCUUCGUUCUGUAUGGGGAACUUGGGAGAAAUUCAAUGCCUGAUAGAUGAAGUAAUUGUGGAGUAAUUGCUGUGAGCUGUCUUCUAUGAAGAACAAGCUUGGUAAACCCCAGAAUAUCCACAAACACAAACAGGAGAAUGUUAGAGCUUUUUAAAGAGCUUCUUCCAGGAUUAGUUUGAAAUUAAAUCUAAGCCAGAGAUCUUGGCAUCUUUGUUUCCCUCUCUCUUUCAAUUCUCCCCUCCCCCACCCUUCCCCUUUUGGCAAAUUAUCUCUUUGCUCUAUCUUCCUGGGAACCUCAACUUGGCCCACUCCUCUCUUUCUCUUCUCUGGGAACGGCAAAUGAGGUUUCAGCUACUCCUGCCAAUUUAUGGAGGUUUUUCAGGGUAAAGUGGGAAUUCAAAGGAGCCCUCUUGGGGUGGGGUCAGGGCUGUGGAGAGGGGGUACUGGGUUUGAGAACUCUCGGAGGUUGGUUUCUCCCUGGAGGCUGUGUUGGGGGAAGCCCAGGGGACCCUAAUAAAUAAUAGUAAAUAAUUGCUAAUAAAGCCACCUCCUCAGAACAGCUCUCUUCAGUCACCCUUGUUAAUAAAGUAGACAUUCAGUCACUCUGGAUCACACUACUGUUUGUUCUCUGCAGAGCCCUUUUGACUUAUGAUAUAAUGUAAUAUGACCUAUGAUAUUUUUCUAAUUGUUUAUUGUCUUUCUUCCCUUCCUCUGGAAUGUAAACUCCAUAAGAGCAAAGACUUUGUUUUGCUCACUGUGGAAUCUCCAGUGUCUAGCACCUAGUAGGUGCUUCAUAUACCACAGGCACCAGGCUGGGCAUUGUGCCAAGCCUUUGCAUGCAUUGUCUCACCUAAUCCUUACAGCAACCCUGGGAGAAAGACACUUUUGAUAUCUCCAUUUUAUAGAUGAGGAAACUGCAGUACAGAAUACUGAAGUAAACUACUCAAGCUGCAGAGCUAGGCAGUGGUAGAGCUAGAGCUGGGAUUUAAUCCAAGAGCGGAGCCUGGGUACCCAACCGCUUCACAGAGGUUAUUGGUGGCCGAAGGGCUAUUGGGUGCCAACUGUAACUGCAAAACUUAUUGCAGUCCAAAGGAUGGCACACUCCUCUGUAUGUACCUGUCUGCCCACCUCUUGGAAGGCUGUGGAGUUUCUGUCAGCCGUGUUGCAACCCACAGGUGAAGGGCUGUGGGUGACUCAUGCUGGCUGGGCUUAGGGGAGGCUGGGAUUCCAGGUGGCGUGUCUGUGCUCGCUAGGCUUUUAAAAAUGGGUCCUCUCCCUCUGCCUCUAGGUCUUGCCUCUUUCAUCACCUGUGCCCAUCUUCAGAGAUCAGCAGAGACCCAAAUCACAAGGCAGAGGGCUUCUAUGUCUCCACACACAGGAAGGCCACAGAAGUAUCCUGGAUGGGAUAGAAGGACCAGUGGUCUGGGCUAGAUGCAGAAGCUGAGACUUAAAGAAGCUAUGAAACUUGAUCAGGUCCUGCAGCGCCAGAGGACCCAAGCUGGGAUCUCAACCCAGGCUGUUUGGCUCCAAAGCCGAACUGCUACAUUAUGUUGCUUCAGCAGUCAUUCAGCGUCCUGGGAGAUGAAUAUGGUUCCGCACAGUGACUUCAGGAGAUAAACUCCUCCAUCUUGUUAAGCAUGUCUGUUCAACAGUUCAAGCUCAAGAUGAAAGGCAAGUGGCAUGACUGAAUCAGCACUUUGGCCCCACCGUGCCUGCCACCUGUUUUAUGAAGCGUGCCAGUGUGUCAAGUGCUGAAGUAUGAAAAGAAAGGUGGUGUUGUCAACCAGGACUUCAUCCCCUCACUCCAGUCUUUCCCUCAGCCACCUCAGCUGGAGAGGCCUUGAGGCUGAAGAAAAUGUGCCUUCCGGGAAAGCAACUGCACACACUGACCUCAGAAAAUAGGAAGCCCCCAGGAGCAGUGAAUGAAACAUUACUUUGUUGUCUUUGGAGACCAAUUUCCAGGUCUCUCCAUUUUAAAAGGAAUGCAGAUACAAAAUCUCCUCAGUCCCAUGUAGCCGCGUGGGUUGUGUUUGUCCCCUUGGGACAGAAAAUGGUGAGUUUAUGGCCUUUGGUGAGCAAGAGCCCCCCUUGACCCAAAGCAGCUUCCAUCUGCCCCUCAGCCUCCCCCUUCUCCUUUCCAGUAAAGAAACCCAGUUGCCUGUUACAGUGUCAGACUUUGCAAGGCUGUUAACGACCUAUAAAAGUCCAAAGACAGAAUACUCCGGAAGGAGGAAACACUAAUUAAGGAAAUCCUGAAUGCCCUAAGCCUGCUCAUUAACAAGAGGCGCAUAAUAACAGCCAAAGUGGAGAAGCUCAUAAAUUACCCAAGGAAGCCCAACGCAGUUGGGAGGUGGGGCCUGGCCAAUGGAACCCAGGGUUCACUUCUGGGGUUAAUGGAAUCCUGGCUGGUCCCCGGGAUUGCCCAAGGCCAGGCGUGGUGUUUCCUUCCUGCCUUGCUGGGAGAGGUGAGUAAGUUUGAGGGAGGUGAUUAUUCAGAGUCACCCGCAAAUCAGGGCGAUACUUGCUCUGGGCCACAGAGGGAAGUGGGUCACGCACGGGAGAGUAUUAGAACUCCAAGCUUUGUCUUGGCGAUGUGCUCGCAGAUAAGUAAACAACAUCCCUCCCUUUCCCUCCCCCUACUGGGCAUCUUCCACUCCCAGUCAUUUAUCACAGGCUGAAGGAAACACAUUAUUCAAAAGAAAAGGGAGAGGCGGGGAGGAAGACCUAGGACUUCUCAAACCCCUUUCCUUCCAAGAGCUCCAGGCUCGAUGCUAUGAUCACUAUGAGCUUCCCGGCAAAAGAUUGACACAUUCAGCUAGAGAGAAACCAAGCGACACAGAGGUUCACUGACGGGCGUCCGCACCGCCCCCCCCCGCCCCAGCAAACCGGGGGAUGAGUUUAAUUUGCUUUCCAUUAAAGCUCCUGCUGCUUACUAAAGAUUUCACAACGUGUUGGCUCAGUCUAAGCAAAAUGGAAGCCCCAUGCAUGACUCAGCCCACCUUUUCAUGACUCAGGAUCUGGAAGAAAUUGGAGAAUGUAUGAUCAAAUCUCACCCGUGGCACAUCCAGUACGAAGAUGUUUCCCAAUGCCCUGAUUUUUGUGUCUGUGUAUUCGGUGAUUUCAUCACUCCACCAAUAAAGCCUAACAGUAUCAACAACAGCAAAA